CCUAGCUUAUAAAGCAUCGUGUGUUUCGCUUCGAGAUCCCUGUUCAACACGCUUGCUGGAUGGCAUCUGUACACUUAAAAAUUCUGGACGAUGUACAACGGUGAAGAUAAUGACAAGCUGAUAAAAUGGGAAGUUAAUUUGGAUCAAAUCCAAAAUUUAUAAAAUUUGAAGUGGAAACUGGAUUUAAUUCUUGGAAAGAUAAGGGUACCCUAAAAACCAUGUGGCUUGGAGGUGGAAAUUCAUCAAUUGAAAUAUCAUUUUAGCUCAAGUAAAAAUACUAUUAAGGUAAGUUAAAUUUCAAUUAGUUUGUAUGUGGAAGUGUUUUAAAAGUAGAAAGUGUUGUAUGGAAAGCUAAAGGAGUAUAGUGUGAAAUGUCUUGGUAUAUUACACCAUUUUGAAAUAUCAGUUCAGACUUAUUUUAAUAUUGGA